GGCUGGGAAUCACAAGUGGCAUAGAGAUCCUUAGGAGUACGGAGCAGUUGUUACGAUAGCCAGGAAAGGAAGGAUUCCGUCCCACACAGAACGAACUCUACUAAUGUCUCUUACUUAUUCCUCCCCCUGGCCGAAGGUAAAAUAAGGAUCCGCUUUAAAGGGUAAUAGACCGACCAGCCGGACGAGGACUGUGUUUUCGGGAACCAAGUGGCACCUUAACUGUACCAAUGAGCGGUACGGGGCUUCGGAGG
rnacentral:lncRNA from 1 species